UACGUAGGGUGCAAGCGUUGUCCGGAAUUAUUGGGCGUAAAGAGCUCGUAGGCGGUGUGUCGCGUCGGCCGUGAAAACCUGCAGCUUAACUGUGGGCUUGCGGUCGAUACGGGCAUCACUGGAGUUCGGCAGGGGAGACUGGAAUUCCUGGUGUAGCGGUGAAAUGCGCAGAUAUCAGGAGGAACACCGGUGGCGAAGGCGGGUCUCUGGGCCGACACUGACGCUGAGGAGCGAAAGCCAGGGGAGCAAACGGG
rnacentral:rRNA from 1 species